CUAGGGUGGCCGCCCGCGGAAAUAUGAAAUGACAGCGUGCUGUCUGGGGGCUGAGGGCGGGGCACCAGGGCGCCCUGGGCAGCGGAGGAGGAGAAAGGAAUUGAACUCAGGACCUUGCAAUUGCCAUGAAGGUGCUUGUGCCACUGAGCUAUAUCCCCACCCAGGCUGAAGUAGAAUUUGAGAUCUGAGGUGUUUUUAUGUUUUGAAAACUAGUUUCUUCUAAUAGAGCUGACUGCGAGGUCUCUGAAGUAAGGGGAUUCACAACGGAGUUCUUACAAGAGGUCCUUGAACCAUCUGGAUGGUGGGCAGUCUGGCCCACUAAUGUGCUUGAGGUACUGGUUGAGAACAGCUACUAGGAAUCAAGCCAGACAAGCUGCACUGCCUUGUGAUGCCUGAGCAUGGGAGGAAGUGACCUUCAAGGUGGGAGGACAAGGUGGAGAGGUGCUGGAGCCCAAUGCUUAUGAAGUGCAUGGAGAAGCUUGCUACAGAUUUCCUUUAUCAAUCUCAACAAACCUACCGAGAGAUUCCAUUUGUAGUGUGGAAGAUACUCAGAACAUGUGGAUGCCAACACAGGAAGCAGAGAUGAAGAUGAGCGUUGUGAAGAAAACAGGAGAAGAGGCUCCAGACCUCUGACCAGCACUGAAGACAAAGCUUAACAAUAUUGCUCACAGGCUCAAAGAAUUAAAUGACAUUUUGGAAUGCCAAGAGAUUCUUCAAGGGCAUCUUUUGUCUCUAGAGCCAUUUGAGAGUUGGAAGAAGAGAAACACCAACUACUGCUGCUGUUCCUGGGCAUGGCUGUUGGCCUGUGCAGAGCCCCCAUUAGAGUAGCUUAGCAUGGGAACCUAAAGCUUGCUUCAGACCAGCUUCCUGCCCAGAGACAUUCGUGGAGACCACACUUUGUAUAGACCCCUUGGGAGGCCACAGCACCUGCCAGUGUCCCCCAAGGAGCCAGCUGGGAGAUGGGCAGCUCCUCAAGUCAGCUUCAUAGUUCAUGAAUUUUGAGGCCCCAUGGAACAUAGAAGUCACUAUUAUUCUGUAUAUCAUUAAGCAAGACUACAUGUUACCUAUGUUAUCACCUACAUUUUUCUUAAAUAUAUU